AUGGCACGUGACACGUCCUCCUCCCGCCUCCGCGUCCUCGACACCGCCGUCGUCACGCCGUCCGGCCCGCCACUGCCGCCGUCCUCCCUCCCGCUCACCUUCCUUGACCUGCAGUGGAUCCAUUCCCCGCCCGUCGAGCGUGUCUUCUUCUACCACAUCGGCGCCCCCCAUGCCGACCUCGUCGUCUCCAGCCUCAAGGCCUCGCUCUCCACGGCCCUCCGCGUCUUUUUUCCGCUCGCUGGCCACCUCCGCGUCACCACCGCCAACGGCCGCCCCGACAUCUUCUACGAGCCCGGGGACGGUGUCACCUUCACACUCGCCGAGUACGACGCCGACCUCAGCGACCUCGCAUCCGACCAUCACCCAAGGCAGGUCGCUGAGCUUGUCCAGCUCGUUCCGCGUCUUCGGCACGCCGAUGCCGACGGAGGCGCUGCGCUUCUCUCCGUGCAGGCCACCGUGCUGCUGCCGCGGGGUGACGUCGCGCUCGGCGUCACCGUGCACCACGCCGCCUGCGACGGCGCGGGCUCUACCAGCUUCCUCCACACCUGGGCGGUCGCCUGCGCCGGACCGGACAGGCCGCUCCCGCCGACUCCUGUCAUCGACCGGACGCUCAUCGCCGAGCCGGCAGGCCUCUACGAACACUACACGAACAACCUGAUGAGCACCGACGAGAUCGAGUUCGUCAAGAUGUCGCCGGACCAGCUCCUCGCCACGUUCACCCUGUCCAGCGAGCAGCUGCAGGGCGUCAAGGACGCUAUCGCCGGCGAGGCCGCGCGGCGUGGCCAGACGCCGCCAAGGUGCUCCACGCUCGUCGCCGCCUUAGGCUUCGUCUGGUCGUGCUACCGCCGAGCCAAAGCAGAGACCGGUGACGGCGCUGCGGAUCCCGAAUCACCAACAUACUUCAUCGUCCCCGUGGACUACCGGCAGUGGUUGAAGCCGCCGGUGCCGGCGACGUACCUGGGCAACUGCAUCGGCCCGGCCAUCGGCGCCGCGGCCAAGGGGGAGCUCGCCUCGGCCGGCGCGGACGGGCUCUUCACGGCGUGCGCGGCGAUAGCGGCGGGCAUCGAGAAGGCGGUGGCGUCUCCAGAGUGGGAGACGACGGUGGAGCGCGUCAAGGAGGCGGGGGCGCGCGGCGUGCUGUCCGUGGCCGGGUCGCCGAGGCUCCGUGUGUACGACGUGGACUUCGGGUUCGGGCCCCCGGCGAAGGUGGAGAUCGUGUCCGUGGCGAGGACAGGGGCCAUGGCGGUGGCGGAGAGUCGCAGAGGGGGCAUGGAGGUGGGCAUGUCGCUGCCGCCGGCCAGCAUGGCGGCGUUCCGGAGGUGCUUCGCCGACGCCGUCGCGUGGCUCUCGACGUCGCGCAGUACAGACACUCGUUGA
rnacentral:rRNA from 1 species